GCCAGAUAGCUCAGUUGGUAGAGCAAGGGACUGAAAAUCCCUGUGUCGGCGGUUCGAUCCCGUCCCCAGGCACCA
rnacentral:tRNA from 1 species